CUUAACACAUGCAAGUCGAACGGUAACAUAAAGAAGCUUGCUUCUUUGAUGACGAGUGGCGGACGGGUGAGUAAUGCUUGGGAAUCUAGCUUAUGGAGGGGGAUAACUACGGGAAACUGUAGCUAAUACCGCGUAAUAUCGAAAGAUGAAAGUGUGGGACCUUCGGGCCACAUGCCAUAGGAUGAGCCCAAGUGGGAUUAGGUAGUUGGUGAGGUAAAGGCUCACCAAGCCGACGAUCUCUAGCUGGUCUGAGAGGAUGACCAGCCACACUGGGACUGAGACACGGCCCAGACUCCUACGGGAGGCAGCAGUGGGGAAUAUUGCGCAAUGGGGGCAACCCUGACGCAGCCAUGCCGCGUGAAUGAAGAAGGCCUUCGGGUUGUAAAGUUCUUUCGGUAGCGAGGAAGGCAUUUAGUUUAAUAGACUAGGUGAUUGACGUUAACUACAGAAGAAGCACCGGCUAACUCCGUGCCAGCAGCCGCGGU
rnacentral:rRNA from 2 species